CGCCCUCCCACGGAGGUCUCACGUGCGCCCGGGGAUCCCUUCCUUCAAUCACACCUCCAUCUUUCAUCUUGCCGCUCUUAGCUGGGAGUGUUCCGCCUACUAACUUUUCUUAAAAAGCCUCGUCGAAGCCUGACUUCUUCCCCGAAAUCACGUCCCUAGACAGCCUCCUAUUUUACCACUAACUUUUCUACCUCAGUUAUUCAGCGGUAGGAAACUGAAACCAAACCCAGCGGAAGCAAACAUCUAAAUUGUUUCGGUAGACGCGCAAGAGAAACGCAGCAGUGUGUCCCGGAAGCGGAAGUAGAUCCUCCUCUAGAGAGGCUGGACUACGCGGAAUGGUGACGUUUCCCCAUUGGGCGGAAGGUUCGGUGGCACUCGUCGGUCUUCCAGCUGGUGGGAGUUGGCGACGCGGCGCUGGGCGUUGGGACCCUAGUUUAUCUAGUUCGGGAAAUUGGGUUGUGGGGUGGUACCUGUCUGUCUGCUCCCGGCUUUCUUUGGUUUCUUCCCGCGGCGUGGGGCCUCGCUAAGGAAUUCCUGGCCCCUUAGGGCCACGGCGUUAGCGGUGUCUUUUGCGAGUUCUUUGUAGGUACAUCUUAAAGCUGUCAAGAUGGUUCUAGCAGACCUUGGAA